rnacentral:rRNA from 1 species
GACGAACGCUGGCGGCGUGCUUAACACAUGCAAGUCGAACGGAAAGGCCCUGCUCUUGUGGGGUGCUCGAGUGGCGAACGGGUGAGUAACACGUGAGUAACCUGCCCUUGACUUUGGGAUAACUUCAGGAAACUGGGGCUAAUGCCGGAUAGGAGCUCCUGCUGCAUGGUGGGGGUUGGAAAGUUUCGGCGGUUGGGGAUGGACUCGCGGCUUAUCAGCUUGUUGGUGGGGUAGUGGCUUACCAAGGCUUUGACGGGUAGCCGGCCUGAGAGGGUGACCGGCCACAUUGGGACUGAGAUACGGCCCAGACUCCUACGGGAGGCAGCAGUGGGGAAUAUUGCACAAUGGGCGGAAGCCUGAUGCAGCAACGCCGCGUGCGGGAUGACGGCCUUCGGGUUGUAAACCGCUUUCGCCUGUGACGAAGCGUGAGUGACGGUAAUGGGUAAAGAAGCACCGGCUAACUACGUG